rnacentral:misc_RNA from 1 species
AAGUCGUAACAAGGUCUCCGUUGGUGAACCAGCGGAGGGAUCAUUACCGAGUGAAAACUCCCAAACCCCAUGUGAACCUUACCUAUCGUUGCUUCGGCGGUCACGCCCCGGCGCCCCUCGAGGCCCGGACCCAGGCGCCCGCCGGAGACCCCAAACCCUCAUGUUUUUAGUGGUUUUCUCCUCUGAGUGACACAUAAACAAAUAAAUAAAAACUUUCAACAACGGAUCUCUUGGCUCCA